rnacentral:rRNA from 1 species
GUCCAGACUCCUACGGGAGGCAGCAGUGGGGAAUAUUGCACAAUGGGGGGAACCCUGAUGCAGCGACGCCGCGUGGGUGAAGAAGCGUCUCGGCGCGUAAAGCCCUGUCAGCAGGGAAGAAAAUGACGGUACCUGAAGAAGAAGCCCCGGCUAACUACGUGCCAGCAGCCGCGGUAAUACGUAGGGGGCAAGCGGUAUCCGGAUUCACUGGGUGUAAAGGGAGCGUAGACGGCGGCGCAAGUCUGGAGUGAAAGCCCGGGGCCCAACCCCGGGACUGCUCUGGAAACUGCGGCGCUGGAGUACGGGAGGGGCAGGCGGAAUUCCUGGUGUAGCGGUGAAAUGCGUAGAUAUCAGGAGGAGCACCGGCGGCGAAGGCGGCCUGCUGGACCGUGACUGACGUUGAGGCUCGAGAGCGUGGGGAGCAAGCAGGAUUAGAUACCCCUGUAUGU